UCACUAACUCCUGAGCCAUUCAACACCUCUCACAAAAUUAAUUCAGAGGAGCACAGUGGUCAGAUGGCCAAAGGGCAGAACAGAGAAGAACUUUCAGAGAUGGUAUCUCAGGAUUUUCUAACUCCUGAGCCAUCCAACACCUCUCACAAAAUUCAUUCAGAGGAGCAUAGUGGUCAGAUGGCCAAAGGGCAGAACAGGGAAGAACCCUCUGAGAUUGUACCUCAGGACUCACCAAGUCCUGAGCCAUCCAACACCUCUCACAAAAUUCAUUCAGAGGAGCACAGUGGUCAGAUGGCUAAAGGGCAGAACAGGGAAGAACCCUCUGAGAUUGUAUCUCAGGACUCACCAAGUCCUGAGCCAUUCAACACCUCUCACAAAAUUCAUUCAGAGGAGCACAGUGGUCAGAUGGCCAAAGGGCAGAACAGGGAAGAACCCUCUGAGAUUGUACCUCAGGACUCACCAGGUCCUGAGCCAUUCAACACCUCUCACAAAGUUCACUCCGAGGAGCACAGUGGUCGUAUGUUCGAAGAGCAGAACAGAGACGAACUUCCAGAGAUGGUUCCUCAGGACUUACUAACUCCUGAGCCAACCAACACCGCUCACACAAUUCAUUCUGAGGAGCACAGUGGUCAGAUGGCUGAAGGGCAGAAGAGAGAACUCCCAGAGGUGGUACCUCAGGACUCACAAACUACUGAGCCAUCCAACACCUCUCACAAAAUUCAUUCCGAUGAGCACAGUGGUCAGCUGGCCGAAGGGCAGAAGAGAGAAGAAGUCUCUGAGAUUGUACCUCAGGACUCAUUAAGUCCAGAACCAUUCAACACCUCUCACAAAAGCUUUCACUUACAGGAGCAUAGUGGUCAUAUGACCGAAGGGCAGAACAUAGAAAAACCUUUAGAGAGUGUACCUAAGGACUUACUAACUGAGAUUGUACUUCAGCACUCGUUAACUCCUGAGCCAUCCAACAGCUCGCACAAAAGAAGCCAGCGCGUCAAGGCAUGCUCUUUCUGUGGCAAGACUUUCACUGACACACUGGGCUUGACAAGACACAUGCGAUCUCACAUUGAGCAGAGGUCACACCAAUGCACCCAAUGUGGGCAAGACUAUGAUUCCAGUGAGGACUUAGAGGAACACCAGAAGAGAAGCUGUGAGGAGAAGAUAAAAAAAGACAUUGGUGUGGACAAUGGUGGGGAAACUGUCCAGCAAAAAACGCAUCUGAAAAGAGACAAAAAACCUGAUCUGAAAGCAGACAAAAAACCUGAUCUGAAAGGACACACAAAAGAGGGCUCCAUAAUGUGCCAUGUGUGCGGGAAAGUAACUACUCGUAUGUUGGGUUUGCGAAGACACCUUCUACUUCACUUCAACAAUGGCGCAUACAAAUGCCCUGUAUGUCCAACAACUUUUAUAACAAAUGCUGAUUUGAGAUCGCACCUGAGAUUGAAAAGAUCUUGUAGGGAAAAAUGUUCUGAUGAAGUAAUUAAUACCAAGGUCCAUCUCCAAUCCAACCCUGGUGAGUAUAAGUGUCCUUACUGUGGGGACACUUUCCAGCUACCACAUGAUCUGAGAGCACACACCAAAGACUGUUCCAGAAAGUGCCAUGUGUGUGGGAAAACAACUUUGAAGCCAUGCGGCAUGCGAAGGCACAUGUUAAAGCACAACAACAAUGGCCCCUACAAGUGCCCGGUGUGUCCAAAGACGUUUAUAUCCCAUACUGAUUUGAAGAUGCACCUGAAAAAAAAUAAGCAAUGUAGGGAGAAAUGUUCUGAUGUCAUGGUGAAGGAAUUACUGUCUUCAGUAGAUGGUAGAUGUAGGAAAAAUGAAACAGGAGUCAUGACAAGCUGCCAACAGCCAAGCUCCAGCAACACAGGUGGGCCUUCGAAGAAUAUUGAACAGUUCUUUGAACAGUUCUCUUAUGACUUUCAGGAAUCCAAUAACAGCGCGAGUAGUGAUGUGAAGAUGAAUAGCCUCAAUGAAAACUACAGUAAAUACCAACCCAUGAAGGAUGUUGACUUGAAUAGCCUCCAUGAAGCCUCCAUAGUGACCACUGAAGACUACAGUGAUGAGAUCAGUCAAUACCAACCCAUGAAGGAUGUUGACUUGAAUAGCCUCCAUGAAGCCUCCAUGGUGACCACUGAAGACUACAGUGAUGAGAUCAGUCGAUACCAACCCAUGAAGGACAAAAGGUCUGUGGAUGAUUCAUUGGAAAAUGAGAUGCCCAAUGACAAAGAACCAAACUCAACCAUUGGCUUAACAGGGAAGCAGGUGUCCCAGACUGACCCAAAGUCUUUCCAGGAUUCUCAACCAGAGAUAAGCGGAGAAGUGAAGAGCGAGAUACAGAGAGGGAAACUGCAGGCUGAGGCCACGGGUUCCCACGGACAGAAAAGAAGAGGCAGAAAGAGAAAACAGAAAAGAGGACGCGGUGUCAAAAAUGAGAAGAGCGAAGCAAAGGGUGUGAAAAGAGAGCGGUCACCUGAAACUGAGGAAGAUGCCGAACCAUCAGAUAAUAAACUUUGGACCACUGUCAUUAAAAGGACCACUGUCUGUGAUUCUGGUGGUGUCUCAGAGAGUGUACCUCAGGACUCACUAACUCCUGAGCCAUCCAACACCUCUCACAAAAGAAGUCAACGAGUCAAAGCAUGCUCUUUCUGUCGCAAGACUUUCACUGAAACACUGGGCUUGACAAGACACAUGCGAUCUCACAUUGAACAGAAGUCACACAAAUGCACCCUGUGUGGGCAAGACUUUGAAUUCAGUGAGGACUUAGAGGAACACCAGAAGAGUAGCUGUGAGAAGAAGAAGAGUGGUGAUGACUACUGUGGGGGAACUGUCCAGAAAAAAAAAUAUCUGAAAAAAAACCCUGAUCUGAAAAGAGACAAAAAGCCUGAUCUGAAAGGAGACAAGAAAACUCAUCUGAAUAGAGCCAAAAAAAAAUAUCAGAAAAGAGACAAAAAAUCUGAUCUGAAAGGACACACAAAAGAGGGCUCCAUAAUGUGCCAUGUGUGCGGGAAAGUAACUACUCGUAUUGUAAGUUUGCAAAGGCACCUUCUACUUCACUUCAACAAUGGCGCAUACAAGUGCCCUGUGUGUCCAAAGACUUUUAUAUUAAAUUGUGAUUUGAGAUCACACCUGAGAUUGAAAAGAUGUUCUGAUAAAGUAAUUACAACCAGGCUCCACCUCAAAUCCAACCCUGGGGAUUACAAGUGUCCUUACUGUGGGGACACUUUCCAGCUAUCACGUGAUCUGAAAGGACACACAAAAGACUGUUCCAGAAAGUGCCAUGUGUGUGGGAAAAUAAGUUCUGGAAAACUGGAAAUGCGAAGGCACAUGUUAAAACACGACAACAAUGGCCCCAUCAAGUGCCCGGUGUGUCCAAUGACUUUUGUAUACCAUACUGAUUUGAAGAAGCACCUGAAAACAAAAAAACUAUGUAGGGAGAAAUGUUCUGAUGUCAAGGUGAAGAACAAUGCUGAUUUGAAAUUGCCCCGAAGAUUGAAAAGGUCUUAUAGGAAGACAUUUUCUGAUGAUGUAAUUACAACCAAGAUCCACUUCAAAUCCAACUCUGGCGAUUACAAGUGUCCCUACUGUGGGGACACUUUCCAGCUACCACGUGAUCUGAAAGGACACACAAAAGACUGUUCCAAAAAGUGCAAUGUGUGUGGGAAAACAACUUCAACGGCACGCGGCAUGCGAAGGCACAUGUUAAGACACAACAACAAUGGCCCUUACAAGUGCCCGGUGUGUCCAAUUACUUUUAUAUACCAUCCUGAUUUGAAGAAGCACCUUAAACUGAAAAAACAUUGUAGAGCGAAAUGUUCUGAUGUGAUGAUGAAAGAAAUACUGUCUUCGGGAGGCGGUAGAUGUUGGAAAAUGUUCAAUGAAACAGCAGUCAUGACAAACAGCCAACAACCAAGCUCCAGCAACACAGGUGGGCCUUCGAAGAGAAUUGAAGAGCUCGCUCAUGACUCGCAGCAAUCCGAUAACAGCAUGAGUAGUGAUAUGAACCUUAAUAGCCUUGAAGAAGACCACAGUGACAAGAUCAGUCAAUAUCAACCCAUUAAAGAUGUUGACCUGAAUAGCCUCUAUGAAGACUACAGUCAGGAGAUCAGUCAAUACCAACCCAUUAAGGACCCUGAUGAGUACAAUUGUCCUUACUGUUGGGACACUUUCCAGCUCCCAGAUGAUCUGAAAAGCCACACAAAAGACUGUUCCAGAAAGUGCCAUGUGUGUGGGAAAAUAUCCUCAAAGGCAUGUGACAUGCGAAGGCACAUGUUAAAACAUGACAACAAUGGCCCCAUCAAGUGCCCGGUGUGUCCAAAGACGUUUAUAUUCCAUACCGAUUUGAAAACACACCUGAAAACAAAAAAACUUUGUAGGGAGAAAUGUUCUGAUGUGAUGGCAAAGGAAUUACUGUCUUCAGUAGAUGGUAGAUGUAGGAAAAAUGUUAAUGAAACAGGAGUAUUGACAAGUUGCAAUCAACCAAGCUCCAGCAACACAGGUGGGCCUUCGAAGGGCGGGCCUGUGUUGGGUUUGAAGAGCUUUGAAGAGUUCUUUGAAGAGCUCUCUAAUGACUCCGAUAUCAGUAUGAAUAGUGACAUGAACCUGAAUAGCCUCGAUGAAGACUACAGUCAAGAGUUCAGUCAAUACCAACCCAUUAAGGACGUUGACCUGAAUAGCCUCGAUGAAGACUACAGUCAAGAGUUCAGUCAAUACCAACCCAUUAAGGACGUUGACCUGAAUAGCCUCGAUGAAGACUACAGUCAAGAGAUCAGUCAAUACCAACCCAUUAAGGAUGUUGACCUGAAUAGCCUCUAUGAAGACUACAGUCAGGAGAUCAGUCAAUACCAACCCAUUAAGGACGUUGACCAAUCCAACCCUGGUGAGAACAAUUGUCCUUACUGUAGGAAGACUUUCCAGCUCCGACAUGAUCUGAAAGAACACAAAAAAGACUGUUCCAAGAAGUGCCAUGUGUGUGGGAAAUCAACUUCGACGCCAUGCGGCAUGCGAAGGCACAUGUUAAAACACUACAAUGGCCACAUCAACUGCCCGGUGUGUCCAGCGACUUUUGUAUACCAUACUGAUUUGAAGAAGCACCUGAAAACAAAAAAACUAUGUAGGGAGAAAUGUUCUGGGGUGAUGGCGAAGGAAUUACUGUCUUCAGUAGAUGAUAGAUGUAAGAAAAAUGUUAAUGAAACAGAAGUCAUGGUAAUUUGCGAACAACCAAGCUCCAGCGACACAGGCGGGCCUUCAAAUAGCAUUGAACAGUUUUCACAUGAUUUGGAGCAAUCCAAUAACAGCAUGAGUAGUGAUGUGAACCUGAAUAGCCUCCAUGAAGACAACAGUCAGGAGAUCAGUCAAUGCCAAGCCAUUAAGGACAUUGACCUAUCCAACCCUGGUGAGUACAAGUGUCUUUACUGUGGGGACAUUUUCCAGCUCCCAGAUGAUCUGAAAGGACACACAAAAUACUGUUCCAAAAAGUGCCAUGUGUGUGGGAAAAUAUUCUCAAAGGCAUGCGACAUGCGAAGACACAUGUUAAAACAUGACAACAAUGGCCCCAUCAAGUGCCUGGUGUGUCCAAAGACAUUUAUAUUUCACACUGAUUUGAAAACACACCUGAAAACGAAAAAACUUUGUAGGGAAAAUUGUUCUGAUGUGAUGGCGGAGGAAUUACUGUCUUCAGUAGAUGGUAGAUGUAGGAAAAAUGUGAAUGAAACAGGAAUCAUGACAAGGCUCCAAGAACCAAGCUCCAGCAACAUAGGUGGGCCUUCGAAGAGCGGGCCUGUGUUGGGUUUGAAGAGCUUUGAAGAGUUCUUUGAAGAGCUCUCUAAUGACUCUGAUAUCAGCAUGAGUAGUGAUGUGAAUCUGAAUAGCCUCCAUGAAAACUACAGUCAGGAGAUCAGUCAAUACCAACCCAUGAAGGAUGUUGACUUGAGUAUCCUCCAUGAAGACUACAGUCAGGAGAUCAGUCAAUACCACCCUAUGAAGGAUACUGACCCGAAUAGCCUACAUGAAGACUUCAGUCAGGAGAUCAGUCACUACCAACCCAUGAAGGAUGUUGACCUGAAUAGCCUCCAUGAAGUCUAUAGUGAUGAUAUCAGUCAAUACCAACCUGUUAAGGACAUUGACCCACAGGGGGACAGAAGGUCUGUAAAUGAUUCAGGGGUAAAUGAGAUGCCCAAUGACAAAGAACCAAACUCAACCAACGGCCCAGGGCCUCUCCAGGACUCAAUCUGAGCCAAACAGAGAAGCUAAGAACGAGAUACAGGUGAUACCGGUGUCAACAACACAUACAACAAAACUAAAAGCCCUGCAAUUUAAGGUUAUAAGAAAAUGAUGAACAGCAACAACUUCCUUAUAUGUAUUUGUUUUUUUUGUAGCUAUUGUUAUGGAUUAGGUUAGGUCUUUAGAGAUGAUAGAGAGAUUCCCACUAGUAAUUACCAGUUGGAGGGCAUUCAAGUGGAUCUUUCCCAGUUGUAUGCAGGGAUUUGCGAAUUUGCGAGAUGUUUGAACGCAGCAUAACCCGAGUGAAAAGUCAGUUGUCUCUUAGGUGGCGGAGUCUCUCGAUAGUUUUGAGGUAUCCCCGGUUUGUGAAGAUACUCAUGUUCAUAAGAGUGCUGAUGGCAAACCAGAUGGGGAGAAGGAUGAUUUAUGUGGGGACAUAGAGGAAACAUUCUUUGCCAGACUAGACGGUGGUUUCCAGGUAAUGGUUCAUCAUAGUGAGAAAGUUUAUUCUUGUGUGUAUCUCGGUUAGAACUUCUGGGCAGAGAUGUACAGUGCCGUGAAAAGUAUUUGUCCCCUUUCUAAUUUUCUCUGCUUUUGCAUUAUUGUUAUACAGGGUAGCCUAGUGGUUAGAGCGUUGGACUAGUAACCGAAAGGUUGCAAGUUCAAACCCCCGAGCUGACAAGGUACAAAUCUGUCGUUCUGCCCCUGAACAGGCAGUUAACCCACUGUUCCUAGGCCGUCAUUGAAAAUAAGAAUUUGUUCUUAACUCUUGAAACUCCCCAUCCCGGAUCCGGGAUCGUGACUAAAGCCUCAGGCUCAUUAGCAUAACGCAACGUUAACGAUUUCUGAAAAUCGCAAAUAAAAUGAAAAUAAUGCGUCUGCUCUCAAGCUUAGCCUUUUCUUAACAACACUGUCAUCUCAGAUUUUCAAAAUAUGCUUUUGAACCAUAGAAAUUGACUAAUUUGUGUAAGAGUAUGCAAAGCUAGCUUAGCAUUUUGAGUAGCAUUUAGCACGCAACAUUUUCACAAAAACCAGAUAACCAAAUA